AAACAGCAAUUAAUCACGAUUAAUUUUUUAAAUCACGAUUAAUUUUUUGAGUUAACUGCGAUUAAUCAACAGCCCUAAUAAAAACCCUUGAUGUUUAGACUGGUAAGCUCCUCAAGGCAGGGUCAGUUUCCUUUUGCAGUAUUGCCAACCCCAACUGUUCAAAAAUCAAGAGUCGGAGCUCGCUAAAAUCAUGAUUGGCUUUAAAAUAAUGAGAUUAUGUAAAAAUAAUAGAUUUUUAUCUGUCUUCUGGCUUUUGAGCCUUUAGCACACAUGGGGCCACAUUUUGAAGCUUUCUCCACAGUCACAAGGGCUAGAAACUUACUUUUUCUUUAAGAAUGAAGGCUGAAAUCACACAUCCACUUGACUCCGGGAGCUGGGACUUUUUAAAAAAAAAAAAAAAAAAAACAAUAAUUAUGAGACUGGUGAUAAAAUCAUGAGAGUUGGUAACACUGCUUCUGUGAGUUCUCCACAAUGCUAACCACCCUGAUAGUGCUCAACAUAUAAUAAAAAAUAGUAGCUGUUUCUAACUAGCAUCUGCUCUUAAGUGAGAUCCUGCUUCUCCGUGAACUAGCUGGCUAGACUGAAUUACAGGGAGUCAAGUAAAUUACUCAGUCUCUUAUUGGAGAGUUAGCACCAUGACAUAUCCUGGCUCCUGUGUUUUUGCUCUAACUUGAGAACAAAGCUUCACCAAUUCUUGACGGCAUCUACAGUUACAUCAUUUCUUAACCACAGACGAUAAAGCACUUGUGACAGAUGAGAUAUUGGUUUUUCCUCCUGUUUCAUCAUGUCCUCACUCAUAGAAUCAUAGAAUAUCAGGGUUGGAAGGGACCUCAGGAGGUCAUCUAGUCCAACCUCCUGCUCAAAGUAGGACCAGUCCCCAACUAAAUCACUCCUGAUGUCUCCCUUCAAAUCUUUGCACCUUCCCUUGUGCUGCUGCUUAUUCUUGAAACAGUUUAAGGACCUUACCAAGAGAUAUUGGAUCAUCCAUACUGGUGUGCUUACAUGGCACUUCUGUGUAUCAUAAUAACUUGUAUUGUUCUGUACCCACUCCUGGUUUUAGCUUGUGAGCUCUGUGCAGCAGGGAUUACACUCUUUUUGAGGCACAUUGGCUAGCUGUGCUCAUGUGCAUCUUAGAGCACUAUAUAAAUUAUAGUAAUAAAAUCCAGGUAGAUCAAUAAAUCUGUUUGGACUUAUAGGCAUUGGCAUUUCCUCAUCCUCUUCUGGUCACUGUUACUAAAUAUAUAUGCAUUGCCAUAUGCCUUUGCAGACUUUAAAAAAAUGCAAAGAGUUUAUCAUUUUGAAUUAGGUGAACUCUGGAAAUGACAGUACCAAAGGGAAGUGAGGGCCGGGGUAACUGCGAAGAAGGUACUAACCAAAACUUGUGUGAAGCAUUGAAGUUUUGAGAAUAAGGCAUGAGGAAGUGAAGCAGCGUGUAGUGGAGCAGUUGUCAGCUGUCAAAAGUGAGUCCCUAGAAAUGAAUUUUGAAGUGGGUAUUGAAGGCAGAAAGUGAGGACACUUGGCCUUCUGGAAAAAGAAGGCUACCCUUGGCCUAAGGGCAGCCUGAAAAAAAUUCUGAAAACUGCAAAUAGGAGGAGACCAAAUGGAUGAAAUUCUAUGGUCUGUGCUAUGUGGGAGAUCAGACUUAAAUGACUAUAAUUGUCUCUUCUGUCUUUAAAAUCUAUGAGCAUUGGACACAAGGGUGGAGGUCAGUAGAAACAGAGAUAGAAAAACAGGCAGGGGAAGAGUACAGGUAUUUGAUGCUGAAAGGUACAGUGAGCUGGUAAAGGGACUGAGGGUGUGAUCUGCCAAAUGGUGGGUGAGGCUGUAGCACAGAUUGAAGUAGGAGGAAGUAAGAGCUGAGGAAGCUAGAAAGGAGAAAGGUACAAUAAUCUAGGUGAGAAAGAAGCAAGGAGAGAGCCAGGUUUUCAGCAAUGGUGAGGGAAAGGGAGACUUUAUGCUCUAAUGGAGGACAGUGGAGAGCAACGAAAAUGAUUAGGGGCUGGGGCACAUGACUUACGAGGAGAGGCUGAGGGAACUGGGGUUAUUUAGUCUGCAGAAGAGGAAAGUGAGGGGGCAUUUGAUAGCAGCCUUCAACUACCUGAAGGCCAGUGUUCUGCCAGUGGGACAGAUAUCAACCCUUAUCCAUGAAUCCCAUCAUCUUUCCUACUGGGAAUGAUCCAUGGAAACUAUAGGUCUCAGCAUGCCAAGCUCCAUCUUGCUCAGAGUGGGAAGGCUGCUCAGAUCAAACUGGAGCAUGGCUCAUUAAGAGCUGUGAUCUCUAAAGACCAUCCCACCUCCCUCCCUGCUAAUGUCCCUGGCUGCAGCCUCCUCUUGGCAAGUUGGCCAUGCAGUUGGCGGCUGGGAAAAGUCUGACAUUGACCCUGGUUCAGGCUGUCACUAGAGAGCACUAGAAGCUGUUAUUUCAAGGCAAGAAUUACUGUCACCAGAUCUGUAAUCAGUACUGCAGUUUGCAUUCCAUUCCAUCCCACACUGUCCCACUUUCUCUGAAAAACCCAGCCCCUGAAAUAAUCUUCCUCUUAGUGUAAUCCUUGAACAGAUUGCCUCUUCCUUCCACUGCUCACCCUGGGCACACACUUUUUCUCCCUUCCUCCACUCUGCACCCUUCUCUUUACCUCCUCAAUUCCCAGUUUCACGCCUCACUUUCCUCCCAGGCAAGGUCUAAACUCAGCUUUCUCAGCCUGGCUGGGAUUAAGUGGAAACACCGCACAGCUGCUUUGGGUCAUGACUCCCAAUCUCUCUCCUUUCAAUACCAUGGAGAGAGGCAGCACUAGAGAGAGUGGGAGCCGUGCUCAGGAGCAACCAAGGAACCAGUGAGGCGCUUCGCUUUAUCCCUAAAAGGCUGAAGAACUGGGAGCAGAUAUUCUAUGGUAAGAGCGCUGGGAAGGGCUUUUUCCUUCUUCCCAGAGAGGUUUGGAGUCCUUUCUUUCAGAUCCAACAGCAAUUAGUCUGGCAGCCAUUCACUAAUGCCAAGUGUUCAGCAUGGGCAGGACCUAGACCCUUGUGCACAGAGGUACUGGCCAGGCAGAGUUAUUCCACACUUCGAAGUAUGUGGUCUCUGCAGAAAAAGUGUGACAAUACUGUGCAUUUCUGCCCCACAUCUGUUGUUGUUUGUUGAUUGAUAAUUUAUAGUGCCCAUAUGUGUGCUGAUUUCUUCAGAGAAAACAGAUCCAUCCCCCAGAGAGUUUACAAUCCAAGGGAUUGUCAUGACAUGUGAGACUAUAACGUACACAAAGGACGGAGUAAGGUAGGACACUGGUUAAGUGGUUGUUCAGCUGCGCAUACAUAAGUCUUGGUUUAAAAAAAAAAAAUUUAAAGUGGUCACGUUUUGUAGGUGCUGGUGUGGAAAUGUCUUUUGGAGGGAUCAGAAUCCUGUGAGGCCCGUGAUUUGGUUGUCAUUUUGGAAGGGUGCCCCAGGUAUAAGGGGAAGCUUGCAGAAGGCAUGGAAACAUUUACGAAAGAAAGCAAGAGGUGUCCCAGCUGAUCUCUCUGGCAGAGUGCUUGGGAUGGUCACCAGGAGACUGGGUCAGAAAUGUAGGCAGAGGAUGUGUGAUCUAAGUCCUUGAAAGCAAGAACAAGAUCAUCACGUAUAAAAUGAAUUACAGCUCACAAGUGAAUUUCCCAGGCCACACAGCAUGUCAUUGUCAGAGCUAGGCCUGGAACCCUUUCUGCACUCGAACCCUUUCUGAAGACCCACUUUGUCCAGGAGGCCUCCAACUGC